UUCUUCUGAAUUUUUCGGUUUUCAUCAUCAAUUGUCAACAACACCAUUAAGCCUUCGACUUCAACUCUCCACCCUUUUCUCUUUUUGUUUUUCUUUCGUUAAGGUUUCUAACUCAGUGAGCCGCUAUGACGACAACGGCUCAGUCUCCUUCUCCAAUUCCAACGACGAUAAGCCACAAGCAGUCUCAGAGGCUGUACAAGAAAAUGUUAGGCCAGGGGCUACUAAACAGAAUUUUGAAGCAAGCCAGGUUCAACAAGAUAUUAGUCCAAAUGCUACUAAACAGUGUGUUCCAGAAUCUGUGUUUGUGAAAUCCGAACCGAUAAGAGAGGACCACGUUUCUAAUGCUGUCAAAUUUCUUUCACACCCCAAAGUUAAGGGUUCGCCUGCUAUCUAUAGAAGAUCCUUCCUCGAGAGGAAAGGCCUUACAAAAGAGGAGAUAUAUGAAGCUUUUCGAUAACAUUUUUUAGGAAGUUAUCAUCCCAAAGUUGAAAUUGUGGAUACGUAAAGUUGUGCUGGAAGAAGAAAAUGACCAUACCAAGAAAAUUGAUGCAAAACCAAGUUUGGCAGAGGAGGCAGCAGCUGCGGCUGCAUCUGCUGGCAAUACUAAAGCGAGUCAGGAAAUGUUGAACUCCAGAAAUGAAGAGCGAAGGUGCUUUGAGAAAUUUAUGAAUCUUAUGGAUGUGCAAGUGCAAGAGAUGAAGUCAAUGAGUAAUUCAAUAAGCAAACUGGAAGGACAAGCUAAUAGCUCUGGCAGGGCAUUUUCUGAUCAUGAUGAUCAUAGACUAUCGGCCUUGGGUACAAAGGUAUGCUGAAACCAAGUUAAUUCCAAACGCUUUAUAUCUGUUUUGGAAAAUAAAUCCUCUGAUCCCAGUUUACCACUCAAAUCGAUGCACUUCAAGAAUAUUCACACUUUAAUACUGACAAUACUAGUCGAACGGAUCAUCUUCAGAACCAUUGUUGAACGGAUCUUGAGGAAAUGUACGUAUUCCGAUGGUAUUUGUUUUAUUUAUGUAUUGAACAUUCUCCAACAUGACCGACGUACUUGAGUCGUACUCCACAACCUUUAGGGGCGAUAUAAUACUUAGGUUUUUUCGGUGUUUCCAAAAUUAUCAAAUAACAUUCACUUAUUUCUAGGUCAUGAGGGUAGUCAGGUCAUUUUUGUACUCGAGAUUGCUUCGGUCUUCUUAGAGUUCAAGGUAUUCCAAUCAUUUUCUUUGAUUCAGUUAUAUAUAUAUAUCAUUUCCAGUAAUUUAAUCAAGAUGAGCUAUUACUAAACAAAAAUGUCUUUAAAGCAAUCCUAUGUGAAUCGAAAGGUGGAUGUCAAUGUGCAGCAAGGUAAUUUUUCUCUGAUUAUUUUUCUGUACUUAGUUGUCCAGUCGGUCCUAACAAUUUGAAUUCCAGAAUCCUAUAACUAUGAUAUAUUUUAAGCAAGGAGAUCCUCCACACCACAUGCAUCUGCGGAACCACCUCACUCGAAGUCGUAUAUGGAGAUUAUGUAAAUGAUCCAAAGAAGGGAGAAACCUUCAAUAUCAGAGAAAUCAAUGAUAUCCCUCCCAACCCUAACCAGCAAUUGUCAAAUCCUCGCAUAGCACCAAGAUCUAAGACCAUAAGAGGGCCCAAUUUCACAAAGCAGCCGCAGUCUGCAUCAAGAAGUUGGUUUAUGCGAGCUUAUUUGGAUAGAUGACACCACUCAACAGCCUCAUUUCAAUGCUACUUGUGCAUAUCUGAAUUGGAAUCAUCUAUUCCCCCCCCCCCCUAGUGUGAAGGCUGUUUGGAUGGAAAUAUUGUAGUCGGCAUCCUGAGUUGCAAUGGGCAGUCAUUCCAUUGAUAGGCAAAGCAUCCUUGAUGGGAGGAGGAAAAUGGUAGGUACUUUGGUGAUGCGAAACUUCUGAACGGGAAAUGCUUUAUGGAUGAAACAUAUAAAUAUAAACAUGAGCAAUUUAAAAAAUGUUAAGCAUUUAACUUAUGGUUAAGACGA